rnacentral:rRNA from 1 species
AACGAACGCUGGCGGCAUGCCUAACACAUGCAAGUCGAACGAGACCUUCGGGUCUAGUGGCGCACGGGUGCGUAACGCGUGGGAACCUUCCCUUAGGCUCGGAAUAACUCCCCGAAAGGGGUGCUAAUACCGGAUAAUUUCUUCGGACCAAAGAUUUGUCGCCUUUGGAUGGGCCCGCGUUGGAUUAGCUAGUUGGUAGGGUAAAAGCCUACCAAGGCGACGAUCCAUAGCUGGUCUGAGAGGAUGAUCAGCCACACUGGGACUGAGACACGGCCCAGAAUCCUACGGGAGGCAGCAGUGGGGAAUAUUGGACAAUGGGCGAAAGCCUGAUCCAGCUAUGCCGCGUGAGUGAUGAAGGCCUUAGGGUUGUAAAGCUCUUUUACCCGGGAUGAUAAUGACAGUACCGGGAGAAUAAGCUCCGGCUAACUCCGUG